rnacentral:rRNA from 1 species
UACGUAGGGGGCAAGCGUUGUCCGGAAUCAUUGGGCGUAAAGCGCGUGUAGGCGGCCAGAAAAGUCCGCUGUGAAAACUCGAGGCUCAACUUCGAGCUGUCGGUGGAAACUUUCUGGCUAGAGUCCGGAAGAGGAGAAUGGAAUUCCAGGUGUAGCGGUGAAAUGCGUAGAUAUCUGGAGGAAUACCGGUGGCGAAGGCGGCAUCCUGGACCGAGAUUGACACUGAUGAGCGAAAGCCAGGGGAGCAAACGGG